AUCACUUCUCAGCCUUUUGGCUAAGAUAAAAGUGUAGUAUCUGUUCUUAACAGUUUAAGUGUACAAUUCUAUGAUACAUCAUCUGUAUAUCACAUUGUGUGUUCACCAUCCAGAGUCAGUUCUCCUUCUAUAUAUUUCACCCCCU
rnacentral:snRNA from 1 species